AGCCCCGUGGUGUAGUGGUCAAGCAUUCGGGACUUUGAAUCCCGCGACCCCGGUUCAAAUCCGGGCGGGGCUA
rnacentral:tRNA from 1 species